AAAUCAUUAUUUACGUUAAAAAUAAUUCCGUGCUGUGCCGUGUCGUGUGUGUGGCUGCGAUUCCUUGCCACAAUUUUGAAUUAAAAAUCACCGUUACACACAAUCAAAAUAAGCCCGUUGGGCAGUUAAAGUAAUUAGUAAAAUUCAGAUCAAUUAAAAACAACCAAAUAAUUUGUUACGUCACAUGAAAAUUUCGGUGCGGAAAAGUAUUUGCCUGUGUGCGCUGAUAACUGUAACUUUUUUGUAGGCGACACGCGGUGCACGAGCUGCAACCAAAAGACAUACACACACCGAGAUUUUGGUGAACUGCCUGUGUGUAUGGUAUAUGAAAUAUGAAUGUUGAAGCGCAUUCAGGAUAGUGUUAUGUGCUUUGUUAUUAUUGUUGUUGUUGGAGGACAUACAGUAGUCGGUGCUUAGAAUUUCAUUUGGAUGUGGGAUAGUUUAGUUAUUUUUAAGGAAUUCUCAUAUUCACUUGUAAUUGUGAUUCGUAGGAAGUAAGAUCUCUAGUAGUAUAAAAAUAAAAAUAAAAUAGUGUAAUUUCAACCUCAAAUCGGAACGCAACAUAAGACAAAACAACAACAUCAUACUCGAAAACCACCAAUUAACAUCGUCAUUAACAGCAGCAGCAGCAACUACUACUACUACUACUACAGUAACAACUACAACAGUUAACCGUUAACCGUCGCGCAUCCGUCAAAUUUCAAGACCGUUUUCUUCGUACGCAUUGAGUAAUAAAAGAAGUAAAAACCCAAAAGGAAAGGAAGAACUGCGUACCUAGCUAACGUAUCUAAAACGCGUCCUCCUUCAGGCAUUGUGUUUGUGUGCGUGCGAAUGCAACGACAACAAGAAUCUCUCUUCAAGCAACAAGACGUAACGUAGAGCUGCGUAUAACGAACUAGCAUUUCAAAAAAGAACGCACACAUACGGAAA